rnacentral:rRNA from 1 species
AGUCGAGGGGCAGCGGGGCGGCAGGCUUGCCUGCCGCCGCCGGCGACCGGCGCACGGGUGAGUAACACGUAUGCAACCUGCCCGUGGCAGGGGGAUAAGCGGGGGAAACCCCGUCUAAUACCGCGUAACGCGGCCUAGGGACAUCCCAAGGCCGCCAAAGGGAGCAAUCCCGGCCACGGAUGGGCAUGCGGCGCAUUAGCUAGUCGGCGGGGUAACGGCCCACCGAGGCGACGAUGCGUAGGGGUUCUGAGAGGAAGGCCCCCCACACUGGUACUGAGACACGGACCAGACUCCUACGGGAGGCAGCAGUGAGGAAUAUUGGUCAAUGGGCGCGAGCCUGAACCAGCCAAGUCGCGUGAGGGAGGACGGCCCUACGGGUUGUAAACCUCUUUUGCCGGGGAGCAACGGGCGCCACGUGUGGCGCCACUGAGAGUACCCGGAGAAAAAGCAUCGGCUAACUCCGUGCCAGCAGCCGCGGUAAUACGGAGGAUGCGAGCGUUAUCCGGAUUUAUUGGGUUUAAAGGGUGCGUAGGCGGAUCGUUAAGUCAGUGGUCAAAUUGAGGGGCUCAACCCCUUCCCGCCAUUGAAACUGGCGAUCUUGAGUGGAAGAGAAGUAUGCGGAAUGCGUGGUGUAGCGGUGAAAUGCAUAGAUAUCACGCAGAACCCCGAUUGCGAAGGCAGCAUGCCGGCUUCCUACUGACGCUGAAGCACGAAAGCGUGGGGAUCGAACAGGAUUAGAUACCCUG